rnacentral:rRNA from 1 species
UGCCAGCAGCCGCGGUAAGACGGAGGGCGCAAGCGUUGUUCGGAAUUACUGGGCGUAAAGCGCAGGCAGGCGGUCUGUUAAGUCUUUUGUGAAAAUCCGGGGCUCAACCCCGUGAAACGCAGAAGAUACUGGCAGACUUGAGACCAGUAGAGGCUAGCGGAAUUCCUGGUGUAGCGGUGGAAUGCGUAGAUAUCAGGAAGAACACCUGUGGCGAAGGCGGCUAGCUGGGCUGGAUCUGACGCUCAUCUGCGAAAGCGUGGGGAGCAAACAGGAUUAGAUA